UACGGGGGGGGCAAGCGUUGUUCGGAAUUACUGGGCGUAAAGGGCUCGUAGGCGGCCAACUAAGUCCGACGUGAAAUCCCCAGGCUUAACCUGGGAACUGCGUCGGAUACUGGAUGGCUUGAAUCCGGGAGAGGGAUGCAGAAUUCCAGGUGUAGCGGUGAAAUGCGUAGAUAUCUGGAGGAAUACCGGUGGCGAAGGCGGCAUCCUGGACCGGCAUUGACGCUGAGGAGCGAAAGCUAGGGGAGCAAACGGG
rnacentral:rRNA from 1 species